rnacentral:rRNA from 1 species
CCUACGGGUGGCAGCAGUCGAGAAUCAUUCACAAUGGGGGAAACCCUGAUCGUGCGACGCCGCGUGGGGGAAUGAAGGUCUUCGGAUUGUAAACCCCUGUCAUGUGGGAGCAAAUUAAAAAGAUAGUACCACAAGAGGAAGAGACGGCUAACUCUGGGCCAGCAGCCGCGGUAAUACAGAGGGCUGAAGCGUUGUUCGGAAUCACUGGGCGUAAAGGGGGCGUAGGUGGUGUCGUAAGUCGUGUGUGAAAGGCGCGGGCCCAACCCGCGGACGGCGCAGGAUACUGCGAGACUAGAGUGAUGGAGGGGGAAGCGGAAUUCUUGGUGUAGCAGUGAAAUGCGUAGAUAUCGAGAGGAACACCAGUGGCGAAGGCGGGUUCCUGGACAUUAACUGACGCUGAGGCACGAAGGCCAGGGGAGCGAAAGGGAUUAGAUACCCUUGUAGUC